CAUAUUUAUUUGUCCGCCAUCUUGGUUUCGCUAGCGAACUAUAGCGAACUACCUCCCAAGAGGGUUCGCUUCGGCAAAGACCUAUCAAUAUACAAAGAUUGGUAACAUCCAUUCAGACCAAUAGAAAUUAUCGGAAAUUCGAGCGGCGGAACCGAGAUCUAGAUCACGUGACAUCAAUCGAGCAGACGACACCAUUUUGAAGCCGAGUCGUGUAAACAAUUGCCAUCAUCGUUAUCGUUUUCACACCUGACUUUAUUGACUUUAAGGAUGCCGCGGAAGAAAUGCAGUAAGGACUUUUGUACACAGAAGUACCUAUGGAAAAAACCUAAGGUCACAACCAGCACGGAUGAAACAAUACCUGCUCUAUCGGAUGAAACAAUACCUGCUCUAUCGGAUGAAAUAAAACCUGCUCUAUCGGAUGAAACAAUACCUGCUAUUUCGGGAUUGUCAAAUGAUUCAUGUUCUGGCAACAGUCCAACAUGUAGUAAUGUUUUUGUCCAAACCUGUGAUGAGGGGAAUGACCAUGACUACUGUGUUCGUUUAGAUGAUGAUUCAGGGUUACUGAAUACAGGAUUCUGCUGCGGAAGAAAUUUUGUUUCCAUCGAAGCACUUUUCCAUUACUGACUUAAUGUAAUUUUCAAACAUAGUGUUUUGUUCGGAUUGCUUAGCUAUCACAGGAAUGGGAGAGGUACCCAAUAUAUUGUACAUUGGAUCUGUUUGAAGAUUUUUGAGUGUGCUUUUAUACGCAAUAGGAAACACUUGCUGGAACCGCUGGUUUUCCGCAUCAUCAAACUCUUGUUUGCCGCUAGACGGCUGUGAACUCUUUCUGUAGUCUGCAGCUGCAAGAAGUAAUUCAUAUGAAUAAACUAUAUGUAUUAGACUUGACCGUAUUUAUUUUGUUUUAAUCCGUACAGAUCUUGCAAAGUAUCCACGUUGGUCACCUGUUUAACACAAAAAUGUUACAGAAAUGUUGUUCUUUCAUUUUAUGAAUCUCGUUCUGAGAAAAUUGGACAUAAUGUUUUUGGGUAAAUUGUCAUUCCAGAUUAGCCUGUGCAGUUCAUACAGGCUAACCAGGGACGACACUUUCCGCUUAUAUGACAUUUUUCGUUUAAAUAAAGUCUCUUCUUAUUAAAAAACCAAUUUAGGCGUAAAGGGUCGUCCUUGAUUAGCCUUGGUGGACUGCACAGGCUAAUCUGGGAUGAAACUACGCACAAGCAUUAUGUCCAGUUUUCUCAAAACGCGACUCGUGUAAUGAAACAACAUUUCUUCAAUAAAAAGGUAUUUCGUUAAUUUAUUAUUAACUGUUGUGUAAUGUUGUAUGUUGUUAAAUAUGCUAUUAAACUAUCAAAUAAUUUA